rnacentral:rRNA from 1 species
AACGAACGCUGGCGGCAGGCCUAACACAUGCAAGUCGAACGCACCGCAAGGUGAGUGGCGCACGGGUGAGUAACACGUGGGAAUGUACCCUUUGGUUCGGAAUAACGUUUGGAAACGAACGCUAAUACCGGAUGAGCCCUGUGGGGGAAAGAUUUAUCGCCAAAGGAGCAGCCCGCGUCUGAUUAGCUAGUUGGUGGGGUAAAGGCCUACCAAGGCGACGAUCAGUAGCUGGUCUGAGAGGAUGAUCAGCCACACUGGGACUGAGACACGGCCCAGACUCCUACGGGAGGCAGCAGUGGGGAAUAUUGGACAAUGGGCGGAAGCCUGAUCCAGCCAUGCCGCGUGAGUGAUGAAGGCCUUCGGGUUGUAAAGCUCUUUCGCACGCGACGAUGAUGACGGUAGCGUGAGAAGAAGCCCCGGCUAACUUCGUGCCAGCAGCCGCGGU